UACAGAGGGUGCAAGCGUUAAUCGGAAUUACUGGGCGUAAAGCGUGCGUAGACGGUUAUGUAAGUCAGGUGUGAAAGCCCCGGGCUCAACCUGGGAAUGCCAUUUGAGACUGCAUAGCUAGGGUACGGAAGAGGGAAGCGGAAGUUUCAGGUGUAGCGGUGAAAUGCGUAGAGUAUCGGAAGGAACACCUGUGGCGAAAGGCG
rnacentral:rRNA from 1 species